rnacentral:tRNA from 1 species
GGGGCUGGGGCUCAGUGGUAGAGGGCUCACCUAGCAGGUGUGAGGCCCUGGGUUCCAUCCUCAGCCCCA